UACGUAGGGCGCAAGCGUUGUCCGGAAUUAUUGGGCGUAAAGAGCUCGUAGGCGGCCUGUUGCGUCCGCUGUGAAAUCCCGGGGCUUAACCCCGGGCGUGCAGUGGAUACGGGCAGGCUGGAGGCAGGCAGGGGAGAACGGAAUUCCCGGUGUAGCGGUGAAAUGCGCAGAUAUCAGGAGGAACACCGGUGGCGAAGGCGGGUCUCUGGGCCGAUACUGACGCUGAGGAGCGAAAGCGUGGGGAGCGAACAGG
rnacentral:rRNA from 1 species